CAGUCUCCGUUCACUUUGAGCCUUGACGCUGGAUCAGCAGCACAUGUUCAGCGAGCGAACAUCUAUACGGAAAUAAAACUUCCUCUGAAAAAGUGACUGAAACAACAUUUGAUCCCGUUUCGAAUCUGUGCCAGUGAGCCAACAGAAGCCCACUUUUGGAGAGAAAAAAAAUUGGUGGAAAUACAUCUGUUCUACCUCGUGUACGAAGAGGAUGCCUCGGGUGCGUGUGAGGUCGAGUGUGGUGCUUAUGGUGUCGGCGUGGUGCUUGGUGUACGUUGCAGCGCAAGAUCCGGACGCAGCAACCUCAGGCAUCAGCAACGAAGGAGGCCCACCGCUCACGACGCCCUCUAGCGAAGGGGCGGGCGGCGAGGGCGGUGAGGGCGGGGGGAACGUGGAGGCGGAGACAGGGAGCGUAAAUGGAACAGAGGGAGGUGGAGGAAGUGAAGGAGGAGGAGGAGGAGGAGGAGGAGGAGGAGGAGGAGGAGAAGGAGAAGGAGGAGGAGAAGGAGAUGGAUUAGGAACUGGGGGAGAACAAGUGAACGAAGGGGAAGGAAGUAACGCAAGUGUAAAUGGUACAGGAGAUGGAUUGGGUCAGCCAGAGGCUAAUGUGGCGGAAGGAGAAGGUGGAGAAGAAGGAGAAGAAGAAGGAGGAGAAGGAGAAGAAACUGGCGGAGGAGAAGGAGGAGGAGGAGACGGAGGAGAAGUGAGUGCAGGAGGGAAAGAAACUGGUGAAGGAGGAGGAGGGGAAGGAGGUGGAACAGGUGGAACAGAUAUAGGAGGAACAGGCACGGGAUACGGUGGAAAUGGCACUCAGCAAGUUGGAGGAGGAACGGGAGAAGUAGAAGGAGGUGGCGAUGGCGGAGGAGGUGAGGGAACUGGAGGAGAAGGAGAGGGGAAUAAUUCAGGAGAAGCCGGAAUAGGCGGAGGAGGAGGAGAGGG